GAUGAACGCUGGCGGCGUGCUUAACACAUGCAAGUCGAACGGAGAGCCUUUGUAGCAAUACGAGGGUUUCUUAGUGGCGAACGGGUGCGUAACGCGUUGGUGACCUGCCCCGAAGUGUGGGAUAACAAUCCGAAAGGAUUGCUAAUACCACAUGUGGUUUUCCGGAUCAGAUGCCGGAUCUCUAAAGCAGUAAUGCGCUUCGGGAGGGACCUGCGUCCCAUCAGCUAGUUGGUGAGGUAAUGGCCCACCAAGGCUACGACGGGUAGGGGACCUGAGAGGGUGGUCCCCCACACUGGCACUGAAACACGGGCCAGACACCUACGGGAGGCUG
rnacentral:rRNA from 1 species